UAUAUACAGCAUGGAUCAAGGACCAAGAUAACUUAACUGGUAAGUUUAAAUUUGUUAUAUAUACACUCAAAAUAAAUAAUACAAUUUAUGUCAUAAUACAAUAGUAAUUUAGGUUGAAAAAAAGACCAUUGAGUUCAACCUUUGAACACAACUUUUUAUUCUGUUGAUCCAAAAUGAUGCAAAAAAAAACAACAAUUUGAAGCAAUGGUUAAUUAUGCCGCAAAAAUGUAAACCACAGACUUCUCUUUAGAUAUACAAUCUGUUCACAUACAUAUUAAUAUUAUCUUUAAAUAUCCACACCUUUCUAGAUAAAUGUACAUGCUGUGUGAAAGAAGGGUUAAUAUUUUAAAAGCGUUUGUUUUAAAAAAAAUAAAAAUGUAUUUUUCUCUCUCAAUAUUGUCUUGUGAAAGAGCAUAAAUUUUUUGCAUAUUCCUUUUUUAAAAUCUGCCCCAAGGAAAAAAGAAGACAAAUGUACAGCAAAUGCAUUAAUGCAUAAUUUCACCUGAAACACAAUAUUACCAAGUUUAACUUUUAAAGUUUUCUCCUAUUCUAUAAAAAGUAUAUUUUUCUUUUUUUCUUGUAGGAAUCAAUGGUAUUCAUUAAAUCAAUGAACUGCUUGAUUGGGCAAUGCUAGUUACAAAUGAACAUGAAUUAAUCAAAAUAGCAGAACAGCUCUAUUACAAUUUGAUUGGCAAAUGGUGCUUACCUAAGGGUUUAUAUUUUUUUUAUUAUUAUUUUUUGUUUAAUUUAGAAUGCCAUAUCUGCCAUUAUUUACUUGGCUAAAUAAAAACAUUUAAAAACAAGAAAAAACUGAUAGAGAGCCAUUUAAUUGUACUAUUCUUACCGGCACAAAGUUCAUGCGCACGCUCUCUGCCGGAGUGGGAGGGAUUAAAGGUUGACAAGGGGUGUGGAUAGAGAAGGGGUGUGGACAGGCAAGGGGUGCAGGAGAACAAGCACAGUGUGCAGUGCAUGCUGACAGCAGCGUUAAUUAUGCACAGAGUUAACAGGCAACCCAGAACAUAGUUCCUGGCUGUAACUAGCCGUUGGCACAAAACUGCAAUCUUUAAGUUUGGAUUCCAAUAUUGUUGAAUGGGUAAGGCAGUGGCUGAGUGACAGGCAACAGAGGGUUGUAGUCAAUGGAGUAUAUUUAAAGCAUGAGCUUGUCACCAGUGGGGUACCUCAGGGAUCUGUACUUGGACCCAUUCUCUUUAAUAUUUUUAUUAGUGAUAUUACAGAAGGUCUUGAUGGUAAGGUAUGUCUUUUUGCUGAUGAAACUAAGAUAUGUAACAGGGUUGAUGUUCCAGGAGGGAUAAGCCAAAUGGUUUAGGUAAACUAGAAAAAUGAGUUGUGGCAACUGACAUUUAAUGUGGAUAAGUGCAAGAUAAUGCAUCUUGGACUUAAAAAACUAAGGGCCGAGUACAGAAUAUUUGAUGGAGUCCUAACCUCAACAUAUGAGGAAAGGGAUUUAGGGGUGAUUAUUUCUGAUGACUUAAAGGUAGGCAGAAAAUGUAAUAGAGCAGCAGGAAAUACUAGCAGAAAUACUAGCAGAAUGCUUGGUUGUAUAGAGAGAGGUAUUAGCAGUAGAAAGAGGGAAGUGCUCAUGCCAUUGUACAGAACACUGGUGAGACCUCACUUGGAGUAUUGUAUGCAGUACUGGAGAUCGUAUCUUCAGAAGGACAUUGAUCCGAGAAGGGCUACUAAACUUGUUCAUGGAUUGCAGGAUAAAACUUACAAGGAAAGGUUAAAGAAACUUAACAUGUAUAGCUUUGAGGAAAGACGAGACGGGGGGGAUACAAGAGUACAUAGUUUUAAAUUAGAGGGACAAAGGUUUAAAAAUAAUAUCAGGAAGUAUUACUUUACCGAGAGGGUAGUGAAUGCAUGGAAUAGCCUUCCAGCUGAAGUAGUAGAGGUUAACAUAGUACAGGAGUUUAAGCAUGCGUGGGAUAGGCAUAAGGCUAUCCUAACUAUAAGAUAAAUGCAGGGACCAAUGAAAAUAUUUAGAAAAUUGGGCAGACUAGAUGGGCUGAAUGGUUCUUAUCUGCCAUCACAUGCUAUUUUUCUAUGUUUCUAUACAUUAUUCUCUGUGUGUGAAUCAUUUCAAGCUGAUACACUACACAUACUGAUUCCUACCACAAUGACCACUUCUAAAAGCAGAAGUGGUCAUGGUGGUCAGUGUAAUCCUUUAAAUCAGGCUUCCCCAAACUCCGGCCCUCCAGAUGUUGCUGAACUACAACUCCCAUGAUUCUCAGCCUAUUUCAUUAAUAGAAUCAUGGGAGUUGUAGUUCAGCAACAUCUGGAGGGGUGGAGUUUGAGGAAGCCUGCUUUAAAUUGUAGACAGUUAAAUAGUUUUGAUAUUAUGCAAAUUGGAAGAACAGUUACCAUUUCUGGUGCAUUAUAUACGUUGGAUAGUCCUGGCAAAUGUAGGCAAUGUAUAAUAAAAUAGCAUACUUAAAGGGACACUAUAAUCACCAGAACAACUACUGCUUAAAGUAGUUGUUCUGGUGAGUAUAGUAUGUCCCUUCAGGCAUUUAAAUGUAAACACCGCCUUUUCAGAGAAAAGUGACUGCCUAGGGACACCUCUAGUGGCAGUCACUCAAACAGCCAUUACCGUGCUUCCUGGGUUGUGCAGCACUGACGUUCAGUUUCUCCACGCUCUGCAUGGAGGAGCUAUACUUUCCCCAUAGAGAUGCAUUGAGCCAAUGCAUCUCUAUGAGGAGAUGCUGAUUGGCGCAGUGCAGUGUUUUCUCAUGCAUGCGUGAUAGCCUCCCAAUGCUUUCCUAUAGUUUGAUGAUCUCAGCCAAGGGAGUGGUGUGUGGAUGGGGCAAGUCGUGAAUGGAACUGUGCAGCACUGGAAAAAGGUGAAUAAAUUACCUUUUCAAUAGGAGGUAAGGGGAGCUGGGGACCUAAACAGCUAUUUAGACCUACAGUGUCAGGAAUAUACAUUAGUAUUCCUGACACUAUAGUGUCCCUUUAAGUUUCAUUUAAGAUAAACUAAAAUAUUCACUUUAUUAUGAAAAACUGAGAACAUGCAGCUGCUAUUACGUAUAAACAGAGAAAACAGUGAUAUGUAGUGGUUAUGGUGCCUGGAAUGUCUCUUUAAUAUUUCAAUACCUUCAAAAAAGGUCAGGUUUUGAGCUAUUCUACCUGAAAACAAACUACCAAUUAUGAGUUUAUGUAACAAAUGUAUUUCUCACCAUAAAACACUAUAUUUUGUUUUCUUUGUCAAAAUUUUUUAUUACCCUCAUGUCAUAAAACCAUUAUUCACCAAGCUUCAGGGAUUUAGCAACGUUUGUUAAAUGUUUCUUUAAAUCAAUGAUAAACUGCUUCACAGCGAUCCCAAAAAUGCAUUUAGUCAACGUGGUAUAUUUUGCAUAGACAAACAAGCUAAACUAAUUGAAAUCAUAGCAUUGCUUUAAAAUAAUCUUGGUGAUUCCAUAAAGAAUAAAGAGAUUAUUUUACUUUGCCACCUUUACAAUUAAAUUCUACAAUAGCAUGUUCAGGCAAAAUGCAUUUAAUCUUAAUUGCAAUGGUGUGUAUGCUUGCUUGUGUCUGAAUUAUUUUCAGAGCUGAAAUAGAUACAGCGGAACACCAAAGCUGAGAACUCCACCCUUCACCUGAGGCAGUUUCCAUUAGUAGACAGCAAUGUGUUUGAAUAUCUGAACCGUUGCCAAGAUGCUUUAAAAAAUGCCUCUGACGGAUCAUUGGCUAGUCAAUCAGGCACAAUUCAGUAUGCAGAACCAAAAGGCAAAAUUAGUCAUAAAAUACAUUAAAAACUCCAUAUGGUUCGUGCAGAGAAAAGCAUGAUUAAAGACACACACAAAAAACUGGUUCAAUCAGUACCAGACUCACACAAUAAUGUAUAGAUAAGAGAUCAACACAUAUAGGCCCAGGGCAGUUGCUGGAAUAAAACAGCCAGUCUAUGACUUACAGAGAGUCACAGGGAAAGUACUUUAAAGACAGUUGGAUUUCCCAACAAAUUUGAAUGUUUUAUACAUUUUAAUGCAUAUCAGCAACUCUAUAUUUGUAUGCCUUGUCCCUCUCGGCACAAUCUAGUCUCCAAACUCAAGUGGGUGUAUUAGGUAUGUGCACAGUCAUGGGAAAAAUAAAGUACACCCUCUUUAAAUUCUAUGGUUUUACAUAUUAGGACAUAAUAACAAUCAUCUGUUCCUUAACAGGUCUUAAAAUUAGGCAAAUACAACCUCAGAUGAACAACAACACAUGACCUAUUACACCAUGACAUUAUUUAUUUAACAAAAAUAAAACCAAUAUGAAGAAGCCAUGUAUGAAAAAAAACUAUACUGCUGUAAUUUUGUUUCACUCUAAAAAACAUUUAUUUAGAUUAUAUGUCUGGCUGUUCUGGUACAGUCAGAGCAUACUAUGCAACUAACUUGUAGUCCCUACAGUGCAGUAUAAACAAGGGAAGGGCAUUAUUGCAUGGAUGCCUGAGCGCGCAUGUAUUUGUACAGAAUCUAAAUGAAAGUUCUGAGCAGCCCGCCCCUCUGUACUGCUUUGGCUAGUGAGGAAGUAUUAGCCUGAGCAGCAGUGGGCUAUGGUGGCUAAAGGUGUCAGCUGACCGCUUCUUGCCUAUCACAGCCUCCUAUUGCUGGUAUCAAUAGCUAGAAGUAAGAGUGUAUUCUCUGCUUUAGCCAUACAUCCCGUGGGGGCUGGACUGUGGGUGACCAGGAUCCCUCAUUCAGUGUUAAACCUGCUUGAAAAUGGUUUAUCAAUAAAUGAAAGGACAACGAAAGGGCCUCUAGACACUAUAACUAAUUCAAUGAGAUGAAUGAGUUAUGGUGCCUACAGUGUCACUUUAAAGCCACAAUCUGCCCCAAUAAUCAAGUUGUUAUGUGGCUUGAGUCCCUGAGAUGAUCUUACUCAAUAGGGUUAAAUUGCAUUUGAAAGAUUUAACCCCAAGGUUGUUGUGGCAGACUGCCAGUUUAUCGCCACCCUUUUAUUUCCCAAGGUGCAACUUGAAAUAUGCAUUUAAUGCACAAAGUAUUUUUAAUAUUAUAUGCAUUACUCACAAUUUUUCUUUUUUUUUCCCAUUUCCUUAAAAUGUUUCUGCAUAAUCCAUAGUUGUAAUAAUACAAGCGUUAUUUAUUGAGCAUAUGUUCUAAAAAAGCAAAAUGUAACAUAAAGGGCUUUUGUGAGUUAUCCAGCAUCUUCGAAGUGGCUGGUUAUGCAUUUGAUUAGGACACUUCUGUGGGAUUUAUUCUGACCUUGUGAAAUGUAUGAUUGCCUUGAGAAAAUCUUAGCAUAGUGCAACAAGUACAUUUGUCAGCCACCCUUUCUAGCAAGGCUGGUGUUACUAACAAAACCGGCUUAGUCACUUUCUGGGGAGUGUUUUUAUCUUACAGACAUGGGUGUGGUAGCAUCAGCUUUUUUUUAGCAGGGUUACCUGCCAGGCUUCCAAAUUUGCAGAAUUGCGGACAUGCACAAAACGUCACACAAUGUCAUUUAUGUGAUAAAAUGUUAUACUUAGAAAUCAUCAGCCUUACAGCAUUUUGUUGUUUCUCAUAUUUUAAAGACUUUUUUGAUGGUGAGUAACUCUUGAGAUGAGUUAAUUUGGGAAACUUUCUGUCACGAUUCGGGGAACCCAACACGCUGGCACACACACACACACACAGAAAAGGGGCCGUACCCGACCUUAGAGUGGCCGGGCUAAGCACACACAGAAUAGUCAGGAAACAAGCCGAGUAAGGGGAACCAGAAGACAGAAUAACGUGAAACGAGCCGAGGUCAAAGGGUAGGAGAAAGUCACAGAGUCAGAUAAACAAGCCAGAGAGUACGUAACCAUAAACACAAGGUAAAUCACAAUACUAGCAAGCAAAGACCACAACAGGGCAGAGAGGAACAGGAAAGGUAAGUAUUUAAACAAUAAGGUUAAUUCUGAUUGGAUAAUUUCCAAUCAGAAUUAACAAUCACACGUGGGAGAUAUCUAGACCUCCCACUGUGAUUGAGACACUGUGCCUUUAACGCCGGGUCAGGUGACUGACCCCGGCGUGUACUAACUUGGGUGGUCUCCCAGCGUGCAGCGUCAUGUAUGCUGCCGCUGGGGGACGUGGAGGAAACGGCGGGCGGCAUCUGAGGCUGGAAGCUCUCUGGAAGCAGCUGCCCGCGGGAUCCCGACAUUACCCCCCCCUCGAAGACCGCCCGGAGGGCGGGAAGCGGAAGGCUUCAAAGGAAACCGGGCAUGAAAGGAGCGGACCAAAGAGGGAGCUUGCACAUCAGAGCUCGAAACCCAAGACCGCUCCUCAGGGCCGUACCCCUUCCAAUCCACCAAAUAUUGCAGCCGACCCCUAGAAACACGAGAGUCGAGAAGGGCAGCCACCUCGUACACGUCGCCAGAGACAGCGCGAGGGGAAACGGGCCGCCCGAGGGGACGAGAGAACCGGUUACACAGCAAGGGCUUCAAAAGCGAGACGUGAAACGUGUUCGGGACACGCAUGGAAGGAGGCAGGUCAAGGGAGUAGGAAACGGGGUUAACCCUACGUAACACCCUGUAGGGACCAAGAAACCUGGGGGCAAAUUUCAUCGAGGGAACCUUGAGAUGGAGGUUCCUGGAGGACAACCAUACCCUAUUACCCGGAACAUAAGAAGGGGCCGCAACCCUACGGGAAGAGAAGGAUCAGGGUGGUGCAGCACUGGAGCAGAGGCAAAUGCCUUCUUGAGGGUUUCGAAGGCCUUAAGGGCUUCAGGAGUCCAAACCCUAGGGUGUAGACCUUUUUUUGUCAGCUUCGUUAUAGGAGAGAUGAGUGGUGAAAAGUUUUUUAUAAAAUUUCCUAUAACAGUUGGCAAAUCCUAUAAAACGCUGGAUAGCCUUCAGUCCUUGGGGAAGUGGCCAGGACAGUAUAGCUUCCAAUUUAGCAGGAUCCAUACUGAAACCCUGUUCAGUAAUGAUAUAUCCUAGGAAUUGCACAGAGGUCUGAUCGAAUAAACAUUUUUCUAACUUACAGUAGAGUCCGUUCUGCAAUAGCCUUUUGAGCACCAUCUUAACAUGGUUAUGGUGUGACUUCAAAUCAGGAGAAUACACAAGUAUGUCGUCAAGGUACACCACAGCACAGACAUGCAAUAGAUCCCUAAGGACAUCAUUUAUGGUCCUGAAACACGGCAGGAGCAUUACACAGUCCAAAAGGCAUGACCAGAUAUUCGUAAUGCCCACUGCGUGUGUUGAACGCUGUCUUCCACUCGUCAUUCUCCUUUAUACGGACAAGGUUAUAAGCCCCCUGAGGUCUAAUUUGGUGAAGAAUUUAGAACCUUUAACACGAUCAAACAACUCAGUGAUGAGGGGGAUAGGGUAGGCGUUUUUAACCAUUAUAUUGUUCAGACCCCUGUAGUCUAUACAUGGCCUCAAAUCGCCCUCCUUCUUUGCCACAAAGAAGAAACCAGCACCAGCAGGAGAGGAGGACCUUCUAAUAAAACCUUUACUUAGGGAUUCCCGUAUGUACUCCUCCAUGAUCUGGUUUUCUUUUUCAGAAAGAGGCAUAGUACCCGGAGGCAUAGUACCCGGUAAGAGGUUUAUGGCACAAUCAUACUCACGAUGUGGAGGUAGCUUAUCUGCCUCCCUCUUUUCAAAAACCAAGGCAAGGUCUGCAUAAACAGAAGGGACAGAAACCGAGAGUGGUUUAGCCGUGGGCACGUUAAGUAAACAAACAGGACGUACAUGAGCCAUACAGUCUCGUUGACAAGAUUCCCCCCAGGAGAGUAUAUCUAAACAACCCCAAUCAAGAACAGGGUUGUGUUUAACUAACCAGGGAAAACCCAGAAUGAUGGAGGCUGUAGGGGAGUCAAUUAUUUGGAAGGUUAACUUCUCCUUGUGCAAAACACCCACAGACAUAACUAUUUCCUGGGUUUCAUGGGUCACCAGAGGUUUCUCCAGUGGUCUACCAUCUAUGGCCUCAACGGCCAAGGGUGUAUCCUUUCGGAUCAAAUUCAGGGCUGCGGUUUUGGCAAAGGUCUCAUCCAUAAGGUUGUCUGCCGCACCCGAAUCGAUCAGGGCUUUGGUUGUUAUAGUGGUUUUAUUGACCAAAAGAGAAACUGUAAUAAACGGUCUGGAGAUGGACACAUGAGGGGACAAAGUCAUAACACCCGAGGCCGACCCCUCUCUAAGCCUUAGGUGCUGCAGUUUCCCUGUACUUUAGGGCAGGCUUUACAGUGGUGCCCCCUCUUCCCACAAUAAAGGCAUAACCCCUCCCUUCUACGGUACGCUCUUUCGGCCUCAGUUAACCCCGUAGCACCCAACUGCAUGGGUUCAGGGGAUGGUUGCCUAGGAGCGGGUAACGCUAGCAGUGCAGUACUGGGUAGAGCAGGUAACACCCGUGUAUCCAACCGUCUUUGACUACGCCUCUCUCUAAUACGGUUAUCGAUAAGAAUCACAUAGUCUAUAACAUCAUCUAGAAGAGCAGGCAAUUCCCUGGAUGCUAUUUCAUCCAGUAUAUAAGCGGCCAAACCCUCCUGAAAGGCUGUUACGAGGGCAUCAUUAUUCCAAACCACUUCAGCUGCUAGAGUGCGGAAUUCGAUAGUGUAAUCUGCUACAGAUCUGUUACCCUGUCGGACCCUAAGCAGAGCCUUGCCAGCAGAAGCAACCCUACCGGGUUGAUCAAACGUGCGUCUGAAAGCUGUCAGAAAAUCUGCAAAGGACAUAGGAGACGUAUUUUCCCAAAUGGGGUUGGCCCAUGCUAAAGCUCUCCCGGACAAGUGGUUUAUCAAAAAGGCAAUUUUAGAUCUGUCAGUGGGAUAGGAACGUGGAUUCAUCACCAAAUGGAUGUCGAUUUGGUUGAGGAAACCAUGACACAAUGCUGGGUCACCGCUGUAGCGCUGUGGCGGCGUCAUGUGAACUACAUGAGCGGGAACGGGUACUGGAGUGGGAAUGGGUUCGGGCACAGCAGCAGCAGCCUCCUGAACGGCAGGUUGCAAGUGUGCAGUACGAGCCAGUAUGGUUUGCAAAGCUUGAGCAAACUGAUCCAUACGGUGGUCCAAGCCAUCCAUUCUAGCCUCCUGAUUAACUAGGAGCUGUGGUAUGUCAGCAAGUUCCAUUAUGGCCCUGUUGUAAUGUCACGAUUUGGGGAACCCAACACGCUGGCACACACACACACACACACACAGAAAAGGGGCCGUACCGGACCUUAGAGUGGCCGGGCUAAGCACACACAGAAUAGUCAGGAAACAAGCCGAGUAAGGGGAACCAGAAGACAGAAUAACGUGAAACGACCUGAGGUCAAAGGGUAGGAGAAAGUCACAGAGUCAGAUAAACAAGCCAGAGAGUACGUAACCAUAAACACAAGGUAAAUCGCAAUACUAGCAAGCAAAGACCACAACAGGGCAGGGAGGAACAGGAAAGGUAAGUAUUUAAACCAUAAGGUUAAUUCUGAUUGGAUAAUUUCCAAUCAGAAUUAACAAUCACACGUGGGAGAUAUCUAGACCUCCCACUGUGAUUGAGACACUGUACCUUUAACGCCGGGUCAGGUGACUGACCCCGGCGUGUACUAACUUGGGCGGUCUCCCAGCAUGCAGCGUCAUGUAUGCCGCCGCUGGGGGACGUGGAGGGAACGGCGGGCGGCAUCCGAGGCUGGAAGGAUGCCGCUCGCCGAGCCCACGAGGAGGAGGGGACCACGGACGACUGGAGGGUGAGUGCCGCGAGCGGAGUGCAGCCUCCCCUCGCAGCCGCCCGUGGGAUCCCGACACUUUCAAUGUGUCCGAUUUCAAGUUACCUACAUUUUAGGGGUUUACUUGAUUUGAAUUUUAUUCUUGCAAAAAUUACCAGGGAUAACAUGCAGCCUCCAGGCAGUGGCAUUGGAAGGGCUUAAAGGUUGAUAAAGGUCAUAAUUUGUGACCGAAAUGUUGCUUUAUGAGCCUGGUGAUAUGCUGUGAGGCGUGUGGUGGCGAGGGAGCUGUCAUCUCCUUGCUCUGCUCCCUCACACGCCGUUUGCUGAUGCCGCAGGAGCCAGAAUAUGACUUAUUUUAACCUGCUCCCAGCAUCAGUAGACAGCCCACAAGGCGCGAGGGAGCAGAGCAGGGAGAUCACAGCUCCCUGGCCGCUUCUGAGUCUAACACAGCCACCUCACAGCAGCCCCACUGGACCCCAGGGACAGAUCCACGCCAGCUCUCCAAGUAGGGAGGCUGGGUGGAAAAUUGUAAUUUAGAAUAAUUGUAAUAAUUUGUGAGAGUAUGUGUGUGUGUGUAUGAGUGUACACUGGCGUACAUACCAGGGUCGCAGGGGUCGCGACUGCGACCGGGCCCGGCCCACCAGGGGGCCCGGCCGCCCCUGCGACCCGGUAUGUACGCCCAGGGCCAGCCUCUUCCCCCGGGGGGCCCAGGAGCCGACCACCCCAGGGCCCCCCUGAGGCUGGCCCUGCUGACCCCGGGUGGCCGGUCGGGCAGGCAGGCGAGGGAGCACUCAGUGCUUCCUCUUCAGCUCCCUCGCGCACCGCAAUGAUACGAGCCGGAAGAUGGCGUCAUCUUCCGGCCCGGCAUCCCUACGCGGCGCGCGAGGGAGCUGAAGAGGAAGCACUGAGUGCUCCCUCGCGCGCCCGCCUGCCUGCCCGACCGGCCACCCGCCCAGGAGCCCCACUGGACCCCAGGGAAUAAUCCCCCCCAGCACUCCAAGAGGUAAGGAGGCUGGGGGGAUUAUAUUAAAAAAAAAAAAAUCAUGUGUGUGUGUUAGUGUGAGUGUUAGAGUGAGUGUUAGAGUGAGUGUUAGAGUGAGUGUUAGUGUGUGUGAGUGUUAGUGUGUGUGUUAGUGUGUGUGAGUGUUAGAGUGAGUGUUAGUGUGUGUGUUAGAGUGAGUGUUAGUGUGUGUGAGUGUUAGUGUGUGUGAGUGUUAGAGUGAGUGUUAGUGUGAGUGUUAGAGUGAGUGUUAGAGUGUGUCUGCUAGUGAGUGUUAGUGUGUGUGUCUAGUGAGUGUCUGUGUGUUACUGUGUGUGUCUUACUGAGUGUGUGUGUGUUAGUGAGUCUGUUUGAUGUCUGUUAGUGAGUGUGUGUUUGUCAAUGAGAGUGUAUGUUUUGUAAGUGAGUGUGUAUGUAUGUCUGUCGCUGACUGUAUCUCUGUCAGUAAAUGUGUGUGUCUGUUAGCUAGUGUGUAUGCGUCUGUAAGUGAGAGUGUGUGUGUCUUCAGCACUUACCUUUCUCCAGCGCCAGACUCCCUUGGCGCUGAGGAUCCCUCAGCCUCUCAGCUCCGAAUGCGACCGCGCACACAUUCAAACCGCCCAUAGGAAAGCAUUACUCAAUGCUUUCCUAUGGACAUUCAGUGUGCUCCUCUAGCGGCUGUCAGUGAGACAGCCACUAGAGGCUGGAUUAACCCUCAGUGAAACAUAGCAGUUUCUCUGAAACUGCUAUGUUUUCAGCUGCAGGGUUAAAACUAGAGGGACCUGACACCCAGACAACUUCAUUGAGCUGAUGUGAUCUGGGUGUCUGUAGUGGUCCUUUAAAGGACCACUAUAGUGCCAGGAAAACAUACUCGUUUUCCUGGCACUAUAGUGCCCUGAGGGUGCCCCCACCCUCAGGGACCCCCUCCCGCCCGGCUCUGGAAAGGGGUAAAACUUACCUUUUUCCACCGCUGGGCGAGAGCUCUCCUCCUCCGAUCCUCCUCUUCUCCUCCCCGUCGGCUGUAUGCGCACGCGCGGCAAGAGCUGUGCACGCAUUCAGCCGGUCACAUAGGAAAGCAUUCAUAAUGCUUUCCUAUGGACGCUGGCGUGCUCUCACUGUGAAAAUCACAGUGAGAAGCACGCAAGCGCCUCUAGCGGCUGUCAAUGGGACAGCCACUAGAGGAAAUAGGGGAAGGCUUAACCCAUUCAUAAACACAGCAGUUUCUCUGAAACUGCUAUGUUUAUGAAAAAAUGGGUUAACCCUAGCUGGACCUGGCACCCAGACCACUUCAUUAAGCUGAAGUGGUCUGGGUGCCUAGAGUGGUCCUUUAAGUGUGUGUGCAUCUGCAUGCACUGGCGUACAUACCGCGGUCGCAAGGGGUCGCAGCCCUGUAACCCCUGCGACCAGGUGCCCACCGCCAUGUGUUGCGGCCUGUCCCGCGUGGGGGGGCGGGGGGCCCACGGAUCAAUUUUCGCACCGGGGCCCCAUGGGUCAUGUGUACGCCACUGUGAGUGUAUGUGUGUGUCUGUGUGUAUGAGUGUAUAUGAGUGCAGUGGUUAUUUUGGUUUCGUGCUGCCCUAGGCAUGACUAAACCUGGGCACCCCCCUAAUCUAAAUUUGCCCCACCCCUUCCUGUCAAGACCACACCUCUUUCUGAUUACAAACCCACCCUUUCCUCUUUAAACUCAACCUUUUUCUACUCCUUUUAAAGGGAUACUAUAGUACCAGUAAAACAGCCUGGCACUAUAGUUCCCUGUAGUGCCCCCCUCCCUUGUGUUCCCCCGCCACCCACUUGGUACUGAAGGGGUUAAAACCUCUUCAGUCAUUUACCUGAAUCCAGCACCGGUGUCCCUUGGCGCUGGGUCAGGCUUCUCCUUAUUCUUCUUAUUACAAUUAUUAUAAAUUAAAUUUUUCCACCCCUACCAGGAGAGCUGGCUUAGAUCUGUCCCCGGGGUCCAAUGGGGCUGCUGUGAGGAGGCUGUGUUAGACUCAAAGGCGGCGAGGGAGCUGUGAUCUCCCUGCUCUGCUUGCGCCUCGUGGGCUGUCUACUGAUGCCGGGAGCAAGUUAAAUUACGUCAUAUUCCAGCUCCAGCGGCAUCAGCAAAAAGGGAGAUGACAGCUCCCUCGCCGCCUCUAAGUCUAACACAACCGCAAGCCUUACAGCAGCCCCACUGGACCCCAGGGACAGGCGAAACACCAGGGAAGCCUGAGGGGGCAUUUGGGGGCGGUAUUCUUUGACGCCCCCUGGUUGGUGCUGCCCAAGACAAAUGCCUAGUUUGCCUUGGGCUAAAUACACCAGUGGGUAGAUCACAUAGAUCACAGGUUACAUUUGACAUUGAAACACAUUGAGGUUGUAUAAUAACAAAUGAGUAGAGAAGACUCUCAAGUAUAUGCUACAAAUUUGCCGCGCAUGCAUAUUAGACCCCGCUCGUCGCGGGAUGGAGGAGGGGGCAGAACUUCGACUCAGCGCCGAGGGACAUCAGCACUGGAUUCAGGUAUGUAAAUAAAGAGUUUUUAACCCUUUAUUUACUCGGUAGGAGGGGGUGUGAGGGAGGGAGGAGGGAGAGAAAUCGCUAGUGCCAGGAAUACAGUUUUGUAUUUCCUGCACUACACUAUCCCUUUAAGUUUGUAUCGCACCUACACCAAAAUAGAGUUUACAUUUGGGUUCAGCCUAAUGUGAAACUUGUGAUCAAAGUGAUUAGUGUUCAUUUCUUGGGAAGUAAGAAAAAAAAAGUUUUGAGAAGACAAAUAUAUUUCAAACCAAUGUAUUAGCUAACUAAGAUAACAGCAGGUUAAUGUUUUCAGGAACAAAAAAGUUGCUUGAAUCAUUGUUAGCUAUAAAUUGUAAGAGAAAGGCAGUACUAUGAACGCAAUGUUUACUAACUACAUAGAAACAGAGAAAAUAGAACACAGUAAGAAUAUGUAUUUUCAGCUCUGGAGGAAUAGAAUCAAUGGAAGCUAUGAAUGUAAUAAUCUCAAAUGAAGAAUGUAAUUCUAAUUGUUACCUAAUUUUAAACAGGCACAUACUAUAAAAUCAAAGUGGGUAGUGACUCUUUGGCUCUGCCAGCACUAUAGAAGGAACUGGAAAUUGUACUGUUUGGAGCUAGACAUGCUAAUAUUUAACCCCUUAAGGACCAAACUUCUGGAAUAAAAGGAAUCAUGACUUGUCACACGUCAUGUGUCCUUAAGGGGUUAAACUUGUUCAUUUGUAGUAAACUCAUUUACUAGCAAAGAGGGCAUGUAUCGAGUCUCAAAAUUAUAAUUAUAGUAUAAAAUUAUACUUUAUCACCCAAUGCCAUGGAGCUUUAACAACAAAUAAUUCACAAUUAUCUAGGUCAAUCGAUAAAACGACAGAGAAAAAAAUUAUGGAGGUGUGCAUUGAAAAGUCUCAUGAAGUUUAUAUAUUAUAUAUUUUCAUUAAAAAAACCACCAUAUCAUUUUAAAAUUAGCUACUUAUGAUUAUGCAUCAUUCCUAUAGGCAGGAAGCAUGAGAAUUGCAUGACAUAUCUUAUAUGCCUAUUAGCAGUAUAGAUAUUAAGGGCACAUUGCUAUAUUAUUUUAUUAUUUAUUAUUAGUUAUAAAGCGCCAACAAAUUCUGUAGUGCUGUACAAUGGGUGGACUAACAGACACGUAUUUGUAACCAGACAAGUUGGACACACUGGAACAGAGGGAUUCAGGGCCCUGCUCAAUGAGCUUACAUGCUAGAGGGACUGGGGCAGAGUGACACAAAAGGUAAGGGUAGGGUAGAAAUGUAGGUUACUAGGAUAGUCAUUUUUAAUUACCUCUUUUUUUUUUCUUUUUUUUUUUUAGAAAUUUUUGAUUUACCCGUACUUACUGUAUAUAGGCAUUAUGUUCAAAUGUAGAUGUUAUUUUUACAUUUUGUGACUAUUUUUAUUAAACUAUUCUACUAGUUAUGACAUCUGGGUCCUUACAAAUAUCUGUAAGCAGGGUAUUUCACCAUAUAUUUAUUUUUGCAUCAAUCCAUAGAGACGUAAUACAGUGAGAUUGAGAGUAGCCGUAAAUAUACAAUUUAUCUAUUCUUGUCACACCUGCUGUAUGUGAGAAAAAAUAUGUAUUUCCCGGUACCCUGUAUUAUGGCAAGCAUUUCAUCACCCCCAUAUUUCUAUUAUAUAUGAGCACUUAUUACAUAAUUAUUCUGUUUUUGAUCAUACAUUUAUGCGCUAGCUAGGCAUCCCAUGUUUGAAAUGAAUGUUAUGCUAAAAUGUUUGCAAACAAGGGGUUUAAGGACCUCAUAUUUUAUACAUAUUCAUUGCACGGAUCAGGAAUUUAACAAGAAUUAGGGGUAUUUGGAUCAUUAAGUUACGAGAAUGCAGUCAUAGUUGAUAACUAAAUAAAACGGUACUUUAUGAACACCAUCAUCCCAUCAUAGAGUUUCUGCAUUAUCCAACAACUAAAUGGAAUACUUGUUAUUAUUCUGCAGAAUUUAAGUGGAGUUAGUGAGUAGUUUAAUUACAGAGUAAUUUUAUAUUUUUUAAUUGUGCUAAUUCUUUUAAACAAUGUAAUGAAAUAUAUACACUUCAUUCAUUUACAUAAGUUAACAAUUGGUGUUCAGAUUUACAAAACCACCUCAAAACUCAUUACUGGUAAAAUGCGAAACCAUUCAUAAAUGUUCUCUUGUAACUUUAUUUUUUUUCUCUCCUCCCUCCCUCUUAGCUACAGAGACAAAGAGUACAAAAGAAAACAGACUGGUUACCAUGGAGAAGCAGUGACUCAUAACCACACCUGUGAUUAGCAGAAUCUCGGCAGGUUGGUGCAAUACAUUUUAUAAACCAUGCUCUGGGAAUAUCUUCUACCUUUUAUAGUACAAUACAAAGGUUACUUUUAAUUACUGCUUACACCUUAAAAACAUGUCUGUGCCAUAUGCUUUGAUGCUGAAGCCAAUGUUAUACAAUAUCAUAUAUUGAAGCAAUAGAUUAAAAAAAAAGGGACAUUCACAUGUACAGAUAAAGAGUGGUUGAAUUAGCACACAGGCAGUCACAUACGCGCAGUUACAAGCAGACAGUCAUACACACAGUUACAGGCAGAGAGUCAUGCACAGUCACAGGCAGACAGUUACAACAGCCACACCAUUACAGGCAGACAGUCACACACACACACAUACACACACACAGUUACAAGCAGACAGUAACAGACAGUCACAGGCAGACAGUCACACACACAUUUACAGGCAGUCACAGGCAGACAGUCACACACACAGUUGUAGGCAGGCAGUCACACACACACAGUAACAGGCAGACAGUCAUACACAGUUACAGACAGUCUCACACAGUCACAAGGAGACAGUCACACACACACAGUUAAAGGCAGACAGUUACUCACAAUUAAAGGCAGACAGUCACACACAGUCAAAGCCAGUCACACACAGUCACUGGCAGACAGUCACAGACACAAGUUUGCAGACAGACAGUCACACACAUACAAACAGUUACAGACAGACAUUCAAAUAGUUACACGCAGACAGUCAAACACACGCAGUCACAGGCAGACAGUCACACACAGUUACAAGCAGACAGUCACAAACACAUUUACAUAGUUAGACAGGCUGAAAAGAGACAUGUGUCCAUCAAGUUCAGUCAGACAGUCACACGCAGUCACAGGCAGUCACAUAGGCACAUUUACAAGCAGACUGUCUCACACACACACACACACACACAGUUACAGGCAGACAGUCAUACACACACAGUUACAAGCAGUCACACACACAGUUACAAGCAGACAGUCACACACAGUCAUAGGGAGACAGUGACACACACUCACAGUUACAGGUAGACAGUCAAACACAUAAAGUUACAGGCAGAAAGUAACAUACACAGUUAAAGGAAGAAAGAAACACACACAGUCACAGGCAGACAGUCACACACAGUCACAGGUUGACAAUCACACACACACACACACACAGUCACAGGCAGAAAGUCACACACAGUCACAGGUGGACAGUCACACACACAGUCACACAAAAGCAUUUAAAGGCAGACAGUCAAACCCACACAGUUACAAACAGUCUCCUCUUUCCAUUAUAGGCAAUGGGGGAGGAAGUGGAGGCACUGCAAUCCCUGGUGUCUAGUUGUUGGGGAAGCAGGGACUCCUUCCUGCUUCCCCCUUAGUGUGCAGCAGUAACCGGGCAGCGGGUUCAGGUUGCAUUUAGCUCCACCCGCUCCCUGAACCCACCUAUUUACCUCCGCCUACAGCAUAUUUAGCUCCACCCCAGAGAUAGCACCAAGAACACUUUAGGCAGCGUGACUAGUACGAAAGCUGUACCGAUUAUGGCCUCAAAUUAUUAAAUAUUCCAAAUGAUUCAAUACUUUUAGAAAAACUUACACUUAUCAAAUUAUUUAUCUACGUUAGUUACCUUUAAAGCCAAUGGGAUUUUUUUUUAAAAUUAUUUGGAAAAUGUAUCUAACAGUAUUUGUGACAAACUGGACCUCAUCACGGGUUCUUGGAGGGGAAUACUUACCAGCCUUUUACCCUGUGACUAUGGGCCCUGUAACCAUGUAGGCCUACGUGGCUUAUUUAGCACCUUUGAACAAACAAACAAUUGAGGCAAGUAUCCUGGUUGUAUUGGUGCAUCCAUUAUGUUUGUAAUUUAUAUUAAAAGAAUCAGUGAUAUACAAAUAAAAUAAACAUAUAUUGAACAAUAGACUUGUGCUUAAGUCAAAAUAGAAAAAAUAUUUCCUUUCAAUACUUUAAAGCAAGCAUGUCAAACUCAAAAUCUGGCAUGGGCCACAUAAACAAGGUUAAAGUUUAUGUGGGCCGCAAAAAAAAAAAAUACCUUAAAUUUUCAUAGGUUUAUUUUAAAAAGUAAAGUAUAACCCCUGCGCCUCAGCAUCCCCCUCUACUAAAUCCCAGUGCCCCCUCUACUAAACCACAGCACCCCCCUCUACCACCCUGUGCCAAAUCUGAUCUGACACACACACACAUACUCAUUGACAGACAGACACACACACACACUCACUGACAGACAGACAGACAGACACACACACACAGACAUACACACAUACUCACUGACAAACACACUCACACACACACAGACACACUGACAGACACACAUACAUACUCACUGACAGACAGACACACACACAAACACAAACACUCACUGACAGACACACACACAGACACACGCUGACAGACACACACACAUACUCACUGACAGACACACAUACUCACUGACAGACACACAUACUCACUGACACAGACACACACACAUACUCACUGACACACACACACUGACAGACACACACACUGACAGACAAACACACACACACACACAUUUACACAUUCUUGCACUCACAUAAUUUAAUUUAUUGUUCCCUAUCUUUGGGAGCUGGUGUGGGGAUCUUCCAUCUGGAGAUCUCCUUCCUGCUCCUCACUGCUACCUCGUGCGGUUUAGUGAUGCUUCACUACAGACAGCGCGCACGAGGGAGCAGUGAGGAGCAGGAACACUGAGCUCCCUCCCUGGCCCUCCUCCCCAGCUGGGUAAGUGUUAGCAGAGUAGGCACCUGCAAUGUGGGGAAAGCAGGUGCCUACUCUGCUGUAACACCAGCAUGUACUCGUGGCUCGUCUGGCCGCAAAGAUGGUCCUUCUGGGCCACAUGCGGCCCGCGCCCCGCAAGUUUAACAUGCUUGCUUUAAAGGAUUGUUAUAUUGAAAACAUAUUUUUGGGGUGACAGUCAUCUUUUAAAAUUCACAAUCAAAUGCUCAAAAGUAAACAAGGGCUUGAAGUUUGAUAGUUGUGGACAGUGGCGUACACACAACCCAUGGGGCCCCGGUGCGAAACUGAUCCAUGGGUUUUCCCCCUCCAACCCCCCCGACAGACACACACACACACACACACACAUUACAUAGACACACACACAGACAGACAGAUACAUACACAUACAACACAUACAUACAAAGACACAUUUAUACAAACAGAUUGGCACACAUACAUACAGACACACACAUACAGAUAGAUGGACACACACACACACACACGACAAACAUACAUACAUACAAACAAACAGACAGGCACACAUACAUACAGACAGAUAGACACAUACAUACAGACACACACACACAUACAGACACACACAGACAGACAGACACACACACACAUACAGACACACACACAUACAUACAGACACACACAUAAGACACAUACAUACAUACAUAGAUACAUACAAACAGACAAGACACACAUACAUACAUCCAUACAUACAAACAGACAGACAGGCACACAUACAUACAUACAUACGGACAGAUAGACACAUACAUACAGACAGACACACACACACACACAUACAGAGACACACACAUACAGACACACACACACAGACAGACACACACACAAGACACAUACAUACAUACAUAGAUACAUACAAACAGACAGGCACACACACAUACAGACAGAUAGACACAGACAAAUACAUACAUACAAACAAACACAUAAUAUUUAAGUCACCCUCCUGUUUCCUACCUUUUAACUGCCUAAGGGUGACUUUCCCUGGGAUCCAGUGGUGGCUCAGGUUGAUGGGAGUUAGAGUUCCCACUCUUACUCCCUCUGCUUCCUCCCGCGCGGGUUCUCAUUAAUAGUUGGAAAGAGUGACGGGGAGUCACUUCCUCCCAGCGUGUGAAAUUCUCAUCAAAGGGGACCCGGUCGUACUGUUAAAGCGCUGACCGGACCCCCUGAAAAUCCAUAGCCAGUUGCGUACGUACAAGGGUCGCAGGGGUCGCGGCCGCGACCGGGCUCGGCCCACCAGGGGGCCCGGCCGCCCCUGCGACCCGGUAUGUAGCCACAGGGCCAGCCUCUUCCCCUGGGGGGCCCAGGAGCCGACCAUCCCAGGGCCCCCCGAGGCUGGCCCUGGUGUCACAUACACACUCCUGGGCGGGUGGCCGGUCGGGCAGGCGGGCGCGCGAGGGAGCACUCACUGCUUCCUCUUCAGCUCCCUCGCGCACCGCACUGAUACCGGAGCCGGAAGAUGACGUCAUCUUCCGGCGCCGGCAUCCCUACGCUGCGCGCGAGGGAGCUGAAGAGGAAGCACUGAGUGCUGGCGCUGGGGAUCCCUCAGCCUCUCAGCCCCGAAUGAGACCGCGCACGCAUUCAAACCGCCCAUAGGAAAGCAUUACUCAAUGCUUUCCUAUGGACGUUCAGUGUGCUCCUCUAGCGGCUGUCAGUGAGACAGCCACUAGAAGCUGGAUUAACCCUCAGUGAAACAUAGCAGUUUCUCUGAAACUGCUAUGUUUUCAGCUGCAGGGUUAAAACUAGAGGGACCUGACACCCAGACAACUUCAUUGAGCUGAUGUGAUCUGGGUGUCUGUAGUGGUCCUUUAAAGGACCACUAUAGUGCCAGUAAAACAUACUCGUUUUCCUGGCACUAUAGUGCCCUGAGGGUGCCCCCACCCUCAGGGGCCCCCUCCCGCCCAGCUCUGGAAAGGGGAAAAGGGGUAAAACUUACCUUUUUCCAGCGCUGGGCGGAGAGCUCUCCUCCUCCGAGUCGGCUGUAUGCGCACACGCGCAUUCAGCCGGUCACAUAGGAAAGCAUUCAUAAUGCUUUUCUAUGGACGCUGGCGUGCUCUCACUGUGAAAAUCACAGUGAGAAGCACGCAAGCGCCUCUAGCGGCUGUCAAUGAGACAGCCGCUAGAGGAAAUAGAGGAAGGCUUAACCCAUUCAUAAACAUAGCAGUUCUCUGAAACUGCUAUGUUUAUGAAAAAAUGGGUUAACCCUAGCUGGACCUGGCACCCAGACCACUUCAUUAAGCUGAAGUGGUCUGGGUGCCUAGAGUGGUCCUUUAAGUGUGUGUGCAUCUGCAUGCACUAGCGUACAUACCGCGGUCACAGGGGUCGCAGCCCUGUAACCCCUGCGACCAGGUGCCCACUGUCAUGUGUUGCGGCCCGCGCGCGGGGGGGGCCCACGGAUCAAUUUUCGCACCGGGCCCCAUGGGUCAUGUGUACGCCACUGCGUGUGGCCCUGAGAGCAUGGGCCACAGAUGGGCACCUUAACAUGCGGCCCCAGCGGAUUGCAGAGUGAGCCGAGACCGCAAAUGAUGAUGGUGGGCACCCGGUCACAGGGGUCUGCAGGGCGGCCGGGCCCCCUGGAGUGACGGGCCCAGUCGCAGCAGUGACCCCUAUAUGUACGCCAGUGGUUGUGAACCAAUUUUGAAUGACAAAAUACCAUUCUAUUUUGUCAAAUUCAGUCAACUGAACUCAGUGUCACUGUACUGCAAUACACAUAUAAUUCUGAUGAAAGUUUAGGUGAUAAACUGAAACGUUGAUUUUUUGUAAUUGCUAUAUAUAAAUAAAAUCUACUUUACAAUCCCUGGAGUGCAGUCAUGGAACUUAUGGCUAUAUAUAUAUAUAUAUACGUACAUACACUGUAUAUAGUGUACUAUUCAUGUAAAUAGAAACAGAAGAAAGUCACUUUUAACUUCUGUUUAGAAUCAUACGAAUGAAAAUAAUGAUUUUUUUUUACAGUUGUAUGUGAAACUGUAUGUUAAACAAGGAUUAGUUAGAUUAAAAACAAAAGAAGGAAGGUAUGUAGAAGAGGAUAAAGGUCUAGCUGACUGUCUCAAUGAAUAUUUUUGUUCAGUAUUUACAGAUGAAAAUGAAGGAAAGGGAAAAAGGACAAGUGAGUCAUAUGUUACAUGUGAGUUUACAGAGGAAGAGGUUCUAUUUCACCUGUCAAAAGUAAAGACAAAUAAGUGAAUGGGACCUGAUGGACUACAGCCAAAGGUAUUAAAAGAUCUUAGUGGUGUACUAGCAAAACCAUUAACAUAUUUAUUUAACCAAUCAUUGUUAACAGGAGUAGUCCCAGAAGAGGGGAAGUUAGCGAAUGUUGUGCCCAUUCACAAGAAAGUUAGUAGGGAGGAGUUGGGCAACUAUAGGCCAGUAAGCCUUACUUCAAUAGUGGGAAAAUUAAUUGAAACCAUGUUAAAGGAUAGGAUUGCUGAACAUCUAAAAUCACAUGGAUUUCAAGAUCAGAGACAACAUGGGUUUACUUCAGGGAGAUCAUGCCAAACUAAUCUUAUUGAUUUUUUUGAUUGGGUAACUAAUAUAAUAGCUCAGGGUGGUGCAGUAGACAUUGAUUACCUAGACUUCAGUAAGGCUUUUGACACUGUUGCACAUAGAAGACUUAUCAAAAAACUGCAAUCGUUAAGUUUGGAUUCCAGUAUUGUAGAAUGGGUAAAGCAGUGGCUGAGUGACAGGCAACAGAGGGUUGUAGUCAAAGGAGUAUAUUCAAAGCAUGGUCUUAGGGAUCUGUACUUGGACCCAUUCUCUUUAAUAUUUUUAUUAGUGAUAUUGCAGAAGGUUUUGAUGGUGAGGUAUGUCUUUCUGCUGAUGAUACUAAGAUAUGUAACAGGGUUGAUGUUGCAGGAGGGAUAAGCUAAAUGGCAAAUGAUUUAGGUAAACUAGAAAAAUGGUCAGAGUUGUGGCAACUGACAUUUAAUGUGGAUAAGUGCAAGCAGUGGCGUACUAAAGGGGGGCAGAGGGGGCAGUCCACCCCGGGUGCCACCAGGGUGGGGAGUGCCAUGACCCUGGUCUGGGUGCUGGAGGGGGCUGUGUGAGCUAUGGCCGCACAGUUCCCCAUGGCAGUUAGGAUGCCGUGCGGCCAGAACAGCUCACACAAGCAAACAGCUGCUGAACUGGCCGCAUGGAGAAAAAGUGGGGGGCCGAGCUAAGCAAAACCAGGGGCGGAGCCAAACCGGCCGCAGGGGCAGGGCUUAAUAUGGCCCUUACCCACUGCUGUUAGGAGGUGCAGCAAGAUGGAAUCUCUGCUUCUCCACAGGCUUCAGAGAAGGACUUCAGGGAAUCCAGUCCCCCUCCAGCCCACUGUCUGUAAGUAAGAGUGUGUGUCUGUGUGUGUGACCGUGUGACUGUGUGUCUGUGUAUGUGUGUGUGUAUGUGUGUGUGUGACUUUCUGUGUGUAACUGUCUGCCUGUAACUGUGUGUGUGUGUGUGUGUAACUGUAUGCCUGUAACUGUGUGUGUGUGUGUGUGUGUGUGUGUGUAUAUGUGUGUGUGUGUUAGACUGUCUGCCUGUAACUGUGUGUGUAACUGUCUGCCUGUAACUUUGUGUGUGUUAUGUGUGUGUGUGUGUGUGUGUGUUACUGUCUGCCUGUAACUGUGUGUGUGUGUGUGUGUGUAACUCUCUGCCUUUGACUGUGAGUGACUAUAUAUGUUACCGUCUAUCUGUAACUGUGUCGUGACUGUCUGGCUAUGACUGUGUGUGACUACCUGUAACUGACUGUGUGUGUAAUUGUCUGCCUGACUGUUUGCCUGUGACUGUUUGAUGUUGCCUGUAACAGUGUGUGAAUAUCUGUCUGUGACUGUGUGUGCGCAUGUGACUGUCUGCAGCUGUCGUGUGUGUGUGUCAAUGUAUAUGUGACUGUCUGCCUGUAACUGUGUGCAUGACUGUCUGUGACUGUAUGUGUGACUGUCUGCAUGUGACUGUGUGCCUGUAACUCUGUGUGUGUGUGUCUGCCUGUAUGUGUGUGUGUAACUCUCUGCCUGUGACUGUGUGUGUGAGUGACUGUAUAUGUGACUGUCUGUCUGUAACUGUGUGUGUGACUGUCUGUCUGUAACUGUGUGUGACUACCUGUAACUUACUGUGUGUGUAACUGUCUGCCUAUAACUGUGUGUGUUUCUGCCUGUGACUGUUUGAUGUUGCCUGUAACCGUGUGUGACUGUCUGUGACUGUGUGCAUGUGACUGCUGCUGUCAUGUGUGUGGGUCAAUGUAUAUGUGACUGUCUGCCUGUAACUGUGUGCAUCACUGUCUGUGACUGCAUGUGUGACUGUGUGCGUGUGACUGUCUGUGUGUGACUGUCUGCCUGUAACUGAGUGUGUGACUGUCUGCCUGUAAAUGUGUGUGUUGGGCUGCAGGGAUUUUGUAGAAGGGGGCAGGGGUUUUGUAUUGGGACAGGAGUCUUUAUAAGCAUAAAGGGGAUUUGUGGAAGGGGGUUGCGGGGGAUUUGUAGACGGGGCAGUACAGGAUUUGUAGAAGGGGGCAGGACAGGGGUUUUGUAGGAGGGGGUGGGGCAGGACAAGGGUUUUGUAGGAGGGGCUGACAGCGGUUUUGCAAAGUUUACAAAUUGUAAAAAAAAAAGAAAACCUUUAACAUUUUUUACAGGUUUUUGGGCGUGGGGGUGCCAAGCACAGGAUCCGCCCCAGGUGCCAAAUGCUCUAGGUACGCCUCUGAGUGCAAGAUAAUGCAUCUUGGACGUAAAAACCCAAGGGCAGAGUAUUUGAUAGAGCCCUAACCUCAACAUCUGAGGAAAGGGAUUUAGGGUUGAUUAUUUCUGAUGACUUAAAGGUAGGCAUACAGUGUAAUAGAGCAGCAGGAAAUGCUAGCAGAAUGCUUGGUUGUAUAGGGUAUUAGCAGUAGAAAGAGGGAAGUGCUCAUGCCAUUGUACAGAACACUGGUGAGACCUCACUUGGAGUAUUGUACGCAGUACUGGAGACCGUAUCUUCAGAAGGAUAUUGCUACUUUAGAGAGAGUUCAGAGAAGGGCUACUAAACUGGUUCAUGGAUUGCAGGAUAAAACUUACCAGGAAAGGUUAAAGGAACUUAACAUGUAUAGCUUGGAGGAAAGACGAGACAGGGGGGAUAUGAUAGAAACAUUUAAAUACAUAAAGGGAAUCAACAGUAAAGGAGGAGACUAUAUUUAAAAGAGGAACUACCACAACAAGAGGACAUAGUCUUAAAUUAGAGGGGCAAAGGUUUAAAAAUAAUAUCAGGAAGUAUUUCUUUACUGAGAGGGUAGUGGAUGCAUGGAAUAGCCUUCCAGCUGAAGUGGUAGAGGUUAACACAGUGAAGGAGUUUAAGCAUGCGUGGGAUAGGCAUAAGGCUAUCCUAGCUAUAAGAUAGGGCCAGGUACUAAUGAAAUUAUUUAGAAAAUUGGGCAGACUAGAUGGGCCGAAUGGUUCUUAUCUGGUGUUGCCGUCACAUUCUAUGUUUCUAUGUUUCUAACUGUUGUAGGUGAAAUGUAAAAUGUGAAAGUCCUCUGAGUCGCAGAAAUUAAAAGUGAAUUUUACUUUCCUGCAUUGGAUUAACUACUGGAGUGCUCUAUGUGUACUUUAUGCAUUGCAAAACAAUGUGCUGUCUUGCAAGUAUUUGUUACAUUGUAUACAAAUCUAUAUGUCAAUGUUUAGACAGGAUGUUCUAAAACUGAAUGGUGUGAAAGGAAACCUAUAAGCAAUACUUCUUUUAAGUGUGGCUAAGACAGAGGGUAGAUAUGUGCACACACAUGCACUAACACAAGUAUCUGCACGCUGGUCUUGGAGGUUUGUUUAGUUCCAAAAUUAAAUUCAUCCAAAUUUGGGCCGAUCUGGUCUACAAUUACAAUAAUUUAUAUUAAGUAUACUAAACAGCAAUUUAUGAUUUUCUAUAAGAUUGUAUUUGUAACUACAUAUGGGGUGUAAUUAAAUACUACAUUUUCUCUUACCAAGCUUUUUGUUCUAGAGUAACUAGUAAAGCUUUCAUGAUUAACAAAUUUGGACAGAGGACCCCAGCAAAUAUAAAGUUCUAGUAUGGUAGGGGUUAACCAAGGAUUGAAAACAAGUGAAGAAGCUGAAAUAGUUAAAGAAUAUUUGAGAUGUCCUUCCUUAGCCAUCUGGACAGGGUGUGUUACAGCGAUAGGCAAAGUAUACAAACACUCCUGUUAGAUUUGUGAAGCAAAUCAUUUCAUAGUACAUAAGGGCAAUGCACUGUUAGCAAAGAGGAAGUACUACUAUGUAUUUCUACAUUUAUUAGAAAGUAUGUUUAUACUGGCAGACAUACGCAACUUAAACUGUUAAAAUGGGUAUUAAAAUUGAACUAUAACUUUUGGAUAUUGGAAAAUUAUAAUAACCAACCCAAAUUUAACUCUGUUAGUUUUUUCCAAACCAAACCUCAAUUUUAUUUAUUCACAUUAAAGGUACACUCCAAGUAUCAUAACCACAACAAUAGUGGUUAUGGUGUCAAUAUUGCACUGGCACUUCAAAUUGUAUGUAGUCAAACUAUUUUUGAAUGUUUUGACUUCUUGCCUGAGGUCUGUGGGCACCAUUCCCUGCUUUCACUACUACUGCCAUAGAGCCAAAAGCUAUUAAGCAUCAGCUGCUCACCUCAGGUGAGAAGUCAAACCAUUCAAAACUGGUUUGACUACUUACAACUGGGGCGAGUUGCAACUGGACACUUUUGGCGACAUAACCACCAUAUAAAGCUGUAGUGGUUAUGGUGCUUAGAGUGUUCCUUUAAAUGGAAGGUAAAGUCUGGUUUUCCAAUGUAAUGUAAUCAUUUGCAUGUGAUCUGUGUGUACAUGAAGGUAUAAGCAUGCACUGCAUCAAAAGAAGAUAAGUAAUUAUAAAUUGAGAGUAUUGCAUGAAUGUGGCAGCACGUUUUACCGACUUGUGAAACAGUAGUGAGUUUUUAGUUUAACUUGAGUCUGAUCAGAAGGUAUCUGAUCAUGCAACUACCACACCCAGGGCCAUCUAUAAUAUGAAUAGGACCCUGGGCAAAGCAUUUUCUUUCGUCCCCUGGGCACCCAACCCCCCAAUCACACUUUUCACCCCAAUGCUGUGGGGGAACUAAAGUAGAGAAAUUCCAAACAUACUUACACAGCCAUAUACACUUACAGACAUACUGACACAUACACACACAGACAGACAUAUUGACACAUUUGCAGAUACAUACUGACACAAACAGACAUACUGACACACAAAUAUACACUGGCAAACCUAUUGACACACAUUCAGACAUACUGACACACACAGACACACAUACAUACAUACAUACAGGCAUACACACACAGAGACAUACUGACACACACAGACAUAUACUAACAGAAAUACUGAAACACACACAGACACAUAUACUGACAGACGUACUGACACACACACAGACAUACUGACACAUACAGACAUACACUGGCAGACAUAUUGACACACACAGACAUAUUGAAACACACACUAACAGACAGACAUAUGGACACACACAGUAUGUAUGUGUGUGUGUGCCAGUAUGUCUGUGUGUGUCAAUAUGUCUGACAGUGUCUGUCAGUAUGUAUGUGUGUUUUUGUGUGUGUCAGUACGUCUGUGGGACCUCCUUAGUGUGCAGGGCUACCUUAGUGUCCAUGGGUGCUGCACAAAUUGUGGGGCCCACAGGGCACCUGCUCUGGGGCCCUCCAGGAGCAACUGGGCCCGGGGCAGCUGCCCCGUUUUCCCUGCGUUAAAGACGACCCUGACUACACCAGGCUUAGCUUUAUUUUUGUGCAUGUUCUUACUUCAGCUGCACACUUGAAUGCUUUACUAGCAUUUACUGGAGUGACAUCAUCAGGUGGCUAGUUACUUUUUGUUAGCUUCUAAUAUUUCUGGUUGUGUGCACUAGCAUUAUAGCAUAUGAUUAAACUAGCCCACUAAAUGAAAACUGAAAGCCACACCAAACAACAGUAUUGCUAUUUUACAGAAUGAUAUUCAACACAUCAUUAUAAAAACAGAAUAAUCACUGAUAUAUAUAAUAACACUACAUUCUUUACCACUGCUUAGAGGUUCUGAGUGAAUCUGGUAUGAUGAGACAUAGAUCAGACAGACUAGAUAACUCUCACGCCUCUCACUACCUCUUGGGUGAAAUAUAAAAAAUGUACAGUGUUCAGCAACAUUUCUGCCCUACAGUUAAUGGCUCUCGGCAUAAAAGACUACCUUCUAUUUUUCUGCAAUAACUUGGUGCAGCAUUAAAUGCUAUUUUAUAGUAUUGAGUCAAUUAGUUUAACUGGAAGAGUUUGUCUCAGAGCCAAUCUUGUUUAUUGCUGGUGAGAUAUUCCAAAAGUAAUUUGUAUAAAAAAGGACUUUUUUCUGUUACCAGUUUAACAGUUAGCUUUAUUUUGUGUAGGAGGACAACCAUCGUCUUGUGUGCAUAACAUUAGAGCUUGCUUUACAUGGAUAGAGGGAAGCGCCAAAUUAUCAAAAAUGUUUCCCAAAGGAUGAACAGCUUAUUGCAAAGGACAUAGUACACUGGGCUCAAUUAUACUGCAGUUAAAUGGUAAACUUCCUCCUGGGAAUCCCAUAGUCUAGAAGCUUAUACACAGCCUUUUGAAGCUAUGUACAUGAUAAUAUUUAUCAUCAAAUUACUUUAAUAAGAAGUUUUUCCAUGCUAUAUGAAGCUAGAAAUUUAAAUUUUAAUGAACUGACUUUAAUAUAGCAUAGUAGUGAGAGGGCAUGUCUUGACCAUCAUGGCAAAGGGUCACAUGUUAGUUGUGCUCCGCAAUAUACCAAGCCUAGCAACCUAUUUGAGUGGUGUCUUUGACACCUGGGUGCUUACCCUUAAAGUCUACAUACAAGCCUCAAAAAUCUGCAGAAGAGCAAAUAUCUGUAACAUAACCAUGGAAACAUAUGGCGAGUAAACCUCUUGAAAGCCUGUUUUUUUUUUCUGAUAUGGCUUCGGAGCUCGACCUUUCCACCCAACUACCUGAUACAAAACGCAAACCACGUAAAAUGCUCCAAUCUUUAAUGGCUAUGCUGCAAACAGACUAAGUCAAUAACAGCAAAUCUUCAUAAGGAGCUCAAAGACCUGGGAGAUAGCACAGCACAUGCAGAGGGACACAUGGAGAAGCUUUGUGUUGUCUCAUUGGAGCAUUGGCAGGAGAGCAUGCUACCACAACCUACAGGCCUGCCUAAGGCGGCUCCUUGAGGUGCGAUUGUCCUAUUAAACUGCCAAAUAAAAUGAGGAGACCCUGAUGAUGACGACUAGAAGGCUGAAGACUCCAUGAGCCAUAUGCUAAGCUCUUUCUCUCUCUACGCUGAUUAAGCAACUACCACACUGGCUAAGAGGAGUGGUUUCCUAUAAUAGUCUAUGUUUUCUCAGCAAAGGAGCCAGUAUUUCAAUUGUGAGGACAUAGAGAAGGGGAGCAAGUGAACAGCCCUGACGCGUGCCAUUAAGUAUUUCAAGACUCAUAGAGCUAAGGAAAGGGCCCAUAAUCCUCGCACUGGGAACUGUUUACAACCUUAUAGUCAAAUGUGCAAACCGACCAGUGAGUCCAAAUAUCCGCAGGGUCUAUGCCAAAAAUCUCAAUUUUACUCUAUCAAACGCCUUUUCGGCGUCAAGCACCAUAAUAAGAGAUGGAAUUUUUCUGAGAUGGAUCUCAUCAAUGAUGUUAAUGGCUCUGCGGGUAUUGUCCUUUCCUGACUGACCACCACAAAUCCUACUUGAUCAGGAUGAUUAGAUUUGAAAUUACCAAAUUUAAUCUAUGUGCUAAAAUCUUAGAAUAUAUUUUUAUGUCAAGGUUGAUUAAUGAAAUAGGUCUAUAGAUCUCUAACUGGCAUUUUAUCACAAGUUUUUAUCUUGUAAUGUAAUGGUACUAAACAAGGGUGUCCCUAGUCCCUUUUAAUUUAAAUAUUAGCUUUGGUACCAUUGGUAUAUAAAAUAAAAGAAAAAGACCACAUAACUGGCUUAGUUAAAGCCUCAACGACUUACAAAUUAGCUUUGUUCACUGAUGAUAUCAUCUUAAACCUUUCAAAUCCUGGGUUCGAUCUUCCGCAGCUGAUGACACUCCUGGGAGAAUAUGGCAAAGAUUAAUUUUAGGAAAAUAACCUUAGUAAGGCUCACACACUUUUUAUUUGUAUUUCAAAGGUCUGUACAGUCAACUUAAAAAUAAAAUAUGAUUUUGACUGGAAAGCCAACUCAUUAACUAAUCCCGGUAUCCAGUUAACAAAAACCAUACAUGCUAUGUCCAUAGUCAACCACCAACAGCCUUUUUAUUAAAUUACAGUCAACUAUUUGGGGUAAAUUGGAAGUCUAAUGGUUAGGAAGAAUUAAUGUUUUUAAGAUGUCCAUUUCACCAAUUAUUCUAUAGUUUUUUUCUUACAAUACCUUUGGCUAUUCUGACCUGCAUUCUUAAGUGUUAACAUUCCUUGGUAAAUAGCUGUAUCUGGGUGAGGCGCCAGUCCUUAGUGUCCCACAAGACAUUUUGGAUGCCUAAACGCUUGGGGGAUUUGGUUGUCCCAGAUUUAAAAACCUAUUAUGUACCAACUGCUCUUGCUUGAACAAUUUCUCUACUAAGAUCAACCUCGAUUUAAGAUAUUAUGCAUCCCCUCAGCAUUACACAAUUAUAAUGGCUCCCACCUCACCUGCACCUGUCCCGGUUUUAUUCCUCGCCAUGACCAAAAAUUCUCUGAAUCUAUGGAGAAAUUGAGCUGGGAUCUUACCGGGUAAAACCAGACUUUAUACUUGGCACCUCUCUCAACUCUACAACUACUUUGUAGAGAUUAGCUUUAAUCAUUGUGCUCAGCACCCUCUAUGAAACUCUGGAUGAUCAUAUCAUCGGUAAGUUCUUGGCAAUGAAUUGCUUAUGUGGACAGUUCUAUUGAGUCCUACAAGACUCAAGUUUGUUAAUAUAUGUGAUAUCCCUAUGUAUAUGGUGUCAUGUUUAAUUUGCAGAACUACAAUAAAGAUGAUGAGAAAAAUAUCCAGUAGUAGCACAAUAAAAGUGCAAAAAUAAUAUUUGCACAAAGUAAAGAAAUAUAAAAUUUUAAGCAGAAUUCACACGGAUAGUCAAGAAAAAAUGGUGCUGUUUUCAAGAGAGAUUUUAAUAUUUCUGCAAGGCAGAAUGAGGUAUUUUAGAUCCACAGCACAUCUGCUGCACACCCUGUCCUUGUACCUUGGUCGGUACACAGUUACUGACACGUGGUCCAACAAUGAUGCUUAAGUCAGACUCUGUUUCAUAAUUAUAUAAAAUGGCAUGCUAAUGAUUUGGUCCCACCUAUGGUAUACACCCAUAGUUGGACUGCAUCUCCCAUAAUUCUUUGUUCUGGCAGAGCAAUAAAAGUAGAAGAGGAGUCAUGCAUGUUUUGUAAGGGGGUGUAACUGGGUUACAUGUCCGUGUCCUUGAGGACACACACCUCUCAUCAGUGCUGCCUAUACCACAUGUCAUAUGCCACCUUUCUUGAAACUAUACCUGCCAUGAUAAUUUGCAUAAUUAUAUAUGCAUGGCAUCACAUUAAUGCUUGGAACUGUGAACCCAUCCAUUCUCCUUGCGCAGAAAACUAUGCAACAGAGGGCAGGAGUUGAUUUAAAGGGUCUCAUUGGAGAGAAGGCCUUCAAACUUGUUUAAGUAUUAAGAUCCGAUUACCAUAGAGUUAAUACACUGGCUUUCUAUCAGUCUCAGUCUGGCAUGAUAUUAGGGUAGUUAUAUUCCUAAUAUAAAUGUAGCUUCUCAGAUGGAGCUCUACAAGCGAUGAUUUUUAAAUCCUCGGCUUUGUCAGUGAUUGUCUGUUAAAGGCAACAAAUGUACUUUUUUUUUUAAAUCUGGAUAUUCCACUUUCUGCUAUUAAAUUUGCAAUAACAUCUACCACAAUGCUCUUACGUCUGCUUUUUACUAUAGGUGGUGACUGGCCAUCUAAAGGAAGAUGAAGACUGUCCAAGUCCUAGAAAAUGAGUCAUCGAUGAGAGUGUACAGUCUGUCUGCAUUUAUCAAUGGAAGUCAAGUAUGU